CCUACGGGUGGCAGCAGUAGGGAAUAUUCCACCAUGGGCGAAAGCCUGAUGGAGCAACGCCGCGUGGGUGAAGAAGGUCUUCGGAUCGUAAAACCCUGUUGUUAGAGAAGAAAGUGCGUGAGAGUAACUGUUCACGUUUCGCCGGUCUCUAACCAGAAAGCCACGGCUAACUACGUGCCAGAAGCCGCGGUAAUAAGUAGGUGGCAAGCGUUAUCCGGAUUUAUUGGGCGUAAAGGGAACGCAGGCGGUCUUUUAAGUCUGAUGUGAAAGCUUGCGGCUUAACCGGAGUAGUGCAUUGGAAACUGGUAGAAUUGAGUGCAGGAGAGGAGAGUGGAACUCCAUGUGUAGCGGUGAAAUGCGUAAAUAUAUGGAAGAACACCAGUGGCGAGAGCGGCUCUCUGGUCUGUAACUGACGCUGAGGUUCGAAAGCGUGGGUAGCAAACAGGAUUAGAUACCCGUGUAGUC
rnacentral:rRNA from 1 species